UUAUAAAGAAGAUCACAGAUGAAGAUGCUGGAAGAUACAACUGCAGACAGUUCAAAUCAGGACAUGAGGAGACAGAUUUUCAGAUUGAACUGACUGUUCAAAAAGAUGUCAGAUCAAAGAGUAAAACACCCAAAUCAACAUUCAAACCAUCUUCUGCAUCAACUUCUUCAACUAAAUCCACAACAACCACAGGAUCAGUUCUGUCAACAUUCAAACCAUCAACUACAACAGAUCAAGUCUCUAAAACAGACAUGACAGCAGGGAUCA